rnacentral:rRNA from 1 species
GCCACUUCGGUGGUACUCGAGCGGCGAACGGGUGAGUAACACGUGAGUAAUCUGCCCCUGGCUUUGGGAUAGCCACCGGAAACGGUGAUUAAUACCGGAUAUGACAUGGACUCGCAUGGGUUUGUGUGGAAAGUUUUUCGGCCAGGGAUGUGCUCGCGGCCUAUCAGCUUGAUGGUGAGGUAAUGGCUCACCAUGGCUUCGACGGGUAGCCGGCCUGAGAGGGUGACCGGUCACACUGGGACUGAGACACGGCCCAGACUCCUACGGGAGGCAGCAGUGGGGAAUAUUGGACAAUGGGCGGAAGCCUGAUCCAGCAACGCCGCGUGAGGGAUGACGGCCUUCGGGUUGUAAACCUCUUUCAGUACCGACGAAGCGCAAGUGACGGUAGGUACAGAAGAAGCACCGGCCAACUACGUGCCAGCAGCCGCGGUAAUACGUAGGGUGCGAGCGUUGUCCGGAAUUAUUGGGCGUAAAGGGCUCGUAGGCGGUUUGUCGCGUCGGGAGUGAAAACGCCGUGCUUAACACGGCGCUUGCUUUCGAUACGGGCAGACUAGAGGUAUGCAGGGGAGAACGGAAUUCCUGGUGUAGCGGUGAAAUGCGCAGAUAUCAGGAGGAACACCGGUGGCGAAGGCGG